rnacentral:misc_RNA from 1 species
AAACCUGAACAAUCAGAACGGUGGAUUUACAGUUUUCGGCCGAGUUGCGGACGAAGCGAGUUUGGCAGUCAUGGACCGGAUCGGGGCGGUUCCGACACGCAAUCUGGGUUCACCGUUCGAAGAUAAUCCGCUCGUGAACUAUACAGGCGGGCAGCCAUCGGAAUCUCAAUACGUGUUGAUCAGGUCGAUCACCGUGCUCAAUGCCGAAGCCGCGCCAGCGAUUGCGGAGAAGGGUGUCGUUUCGGCGAGCAACUUCGGGGC